UACGUAGGGUGCAAGCGUUGUCCGGAAUUAUUGGGCGUAAAGCGCGCGCAGGCGGUCCCUUAAGUCUGAUGUGAAAGCCCACGGCUCAACCGUGGAGGGUCAUUGGAAACUGGGGGACUUGAGUACAGAAGAGGAAAGCGGAAUUCCACGUGUAGCGGUGAAAUGCGUAGAGAUGUGGAGGAACACCAGUGGCGAAGGCGGCUUUCUGGUCUGUAACUGACGCUGAGGCGCGAAAGCGUGGGGAGCAAACAGG
rnacentral:rRNA from 1 species